rnacentral:rRNA from 1 species
AGAGUUUGAUCCUGGCUCAGAGCGAACGCUGGCGGCAGGCCUAACACAUGCAAGUCGAACGAACUCUUCGGAGUUAGUGGCGGACGGGUGAGUAACACGUGGGAACGUGCCUUUAGGUUCGGAAUAACUCAGGGAAACUUGUGCUAAUACCGAAUGUGCCCUUCGGGGGAAAGAUUUAUCGCCUUUAGAGCUGCCCGCGUCUGAUUAGCUAGUUGGUGAGGUAAAGGCUCACCAAGGCGACGAUCCUUAGCUGGUCUGAGAGGAUGAUCAGCCACACUGGGACUGAGACACGGCCCAGACUCCUACGGGAGGCAGCAGUGGGGAAUAUUGGACAAUGGGCGAAAGCCUGAUCCAGCAAUGCCGCGUGAGUGAUGAAGGCCUUAGGGUUGUAAAGCUCUUUUACCCGGGAUGAUAAUGACAGUACCGGGAGAAUAAGCCCCGGCUAACUCCGUGCCAGCAGCCGCGGUAAUACGGAGGGGGCUAGCGUUAUUCGGAAUUACUGGGCGUAAAGCGCACGUAGGCGGCUUUGUAAGUUAGAGGUGAAAGCCCAGAGCUCAACUCUGGAAUUGCCUUUAAGACUGCAUCGCUUGAAUCAUGGAGAGGUGAGUGGAUUCCGAGUGUAGAGGUGAAAUUCGUAGAUAUUCGGAAGA